rnacentral:rRNA from 2 species
GGCUACCACAUCCAAGGAAGGCAGCAGGCGCGCAAAUUACCCACUCCCGGAACGGGGAGGUAGUGACGAAAAAUAACAAUACGGGACUCUUUUGAGACCCCGUAAUUGGAAUGAGCACACUCCAAAUCCUUUAACGAGUACCCAUUGGAGGACAAGUCUGGUGCCAGCACCCGCGGUAACUCCAGCUCCAAUAGCGUAUAUUAAAGUUGUUGCGGUUAAAAAGCUCGUAGUUGGAUCUCAGUGCGAGACGGACGGUCCACCUACCGGUGGUCACUGUCCGGUCUCCACACCAGCCGGUUUCCCUGGAUGAUCUUCACCGGUUGUCUUGGGUGACCGGCAAGUUUACUUUGAAAAAAUUAGAGUGCUCAAAGCAGGCGCGACGCCUGGAUAAUGGUGCAUGGAAUAAUGGAAUAGGACCUCGGUUCUAUUUUGUUGGUUUUAGGAACACGAGGUAAUGAUUAAGAGGGACAGACGGGGGCAUUCGUAUUGCGACGCUAGAGGUGAAAUUCUUGGACCGCCGCACGACGAACUACUGCGAAAGCAUUUGCCAAGAAUGUUUCCAUUAAUCAAGAACGAAAGUUAGAGGUCCGAAGGCGAUCAGAUACCGCCCUAGUUCUAACCAUAAACGAUGCCAGCCAGCGAUCCGGCUGUGUUCCUCAAAUGACACGCCGGGCAGCUUCCGGGAAACCAAAGCUUUUGGGUUCCGGGGGGAGUAUGG